UUGAACGCUGGCGGCAUGCCUUACACAUGCAAGUCGAACGGUAACAGGUCUUCGGAUGCUGACGAGUGGCGAACGGGUGAGUAAUAUAUCGGAACGUACCCUGUCGUGGGGGAUAACACAUCGAAAGAUGUGCUAAUACCGCAUACGACCUGCGGGUGCAAGCGGGGGAUCGCAAGACCUCGCGCGAUAGGAGCGGCCGAUAUCGGAUUAGCUAGUUGGUGAGGUAAAGGCUCACCAAGGCGACGAUCCGUAGCUGGGCUGAGAGGACGACCAGCCACACUGGAACUGAGACACGGGCCAGACGCCUACGGGAGGCAGCAGUGGGGAAUUUUGGACAAUGGGGGAAACCCUGAUCCAGCCAUGCCGCGUGAGUGAAGAAGGCCUUCGGGUUGUAAAGCUCUUUCGGCAGGAACGAAACGGUAAGGGCUAAUAUCCGUGGCUAAUGACGGUACCUGAAGAAGAAGCACCGGCUAACUACGU
rnacentral:rRNA from 1 species